AUGUUUUUGUACUCUCUUGGUCAAGACUUGAAUGGAAAAGGUCAAGGGUGACAGAAAAAGAAAAAAUCCAUAGACAGUCACCAGCUUAUGUAAUUGUUAUUUGCAACUAAUGUUAUAGAAAUUCAAAUUUUUUAUCAAGCAUCUCUACUAUUACUCAUC